rnacentral:rRNA from 1 species
GAUGAACGCUGGCGGCGUGCCUAAUACAUGCAAGUCGAGCGAACGGACGAGAAGCUUGCUUCUCUGAUGUUAGCGGCGGACGGGUGAGUAACACGUGGAUAACCUACCUAUAAGACUGGGAUAACUUCGGGAAACCGUAGCUAAUACCGGAUAAUAUUUUGAACCGCAUGGUUCAAAAGUGAAAGACGGUCUUGCUGUCACUUAUAGAUGGAUCCGCGCUGCAUUAGCUAGUUGGUAAGGUAACGGCUUACCAAGGCAACGAUGCAUAGCCGACCUGAGAGGGUGAUCGGCCACACUGGAACUGAGACACGGUCCAGACUCCUACGGGAGGCAGCAGUAGGGAAUCUUCCGCAAUGGGCGAAAGCCUGACGGAGCAACGCCGCGUGAAUGAUGAAGGUCUUCGGAUCGUAAAACUCUGCUAUUAGGGAAGAACAUAUGUGUAAGUAACUGUGCACAUCUUGACGGUACCUAAUCAGAAAGCCACGGCUAACUACGUG